rnacentral:rRNA from 2 species
CUUAUCUCCCCCAAGAGUCCACAUCGACGGGGAGGUUUGGCACCUCGAUGUCGGCUCAUCGCAUCCUGGGGCUGUAGUCGGUCCCAAGGGUUGGGCUGUUCGCCCAUUAAAGCGGUACGCGAGCUGGGUUCAGAACGUCGUGAGACAGUUCGGUCCCUAUCCGUCGUGGGCGCAGGAAAUUUGAGAGGAGCUGUCCUUAGUACGAGAGGACCGGGAUGGACGCACCGCUGGUGUACCAGUUGUCUUGCCAAAGGCAUCGCUGGGUAGCUAUGUGCGGACGGGAUAAGUGCUGAAAGCAUCUAAGCAUGAAGCCCCCCUCAAGAUGAGAUUUCCCAUAGCGUCAAGCUAGUAAGAUCCCUGAAAGAUGAUCAGGUUGAUAGGUCAGAGGUGGAAGCGCGGUGACGUGUGGAGCUGACUGAUACUAAUCGAUCGAGGACUUAACCUAA